rnacentral:tRNA from 1 species
AAACUUUUAGUUUAAUUAGAAUUUUUCAUUUACACUGAAAGGGUUAAAAGUUUU